CCUACGGGGUGCAGCAGUGAGGAAUAUUGGUCAAUGGCCGCAGGGCUGAACCAGCCAAGUCGCGUGAGGGAUGAAGGUCCUAUGGAUUGUAAACCUCUUUUGUCAGGGAGCAAAGGGCGCCACGUGUGGCGCUUUGCGAGUACCUGAAGAAAAAGCAUCGGCUAACUCCGUGCCAGCAGCCGCGGUAAUACGGAGGAUGCGAACGGUAUCCGGAUUUAUUGGGUGUAAAGGGUGCGUAGGCGGGUUAUCAAGUCAGCGGUAAAAGCGUGGAGCUCAACUCCAUCCAGCCGUUGAAACUGAUGAUCUUGAGUGGGCGAGAAGUAUGCGGAAUGCGUGGUGUAGCGGUGAAAUGCAUAGAUAUCACGCAGAACUCCGAUUGCGAAGGCAGCAUACCGGCGCCCGACUGACGCUGAAGCACGAAAGCGUGGGUAUCGAACAGGAUUAGAUACCCGAGUAGUC
rnacentral:rRNA from 1 species